rnacentral:lncRNA from 1 species
AAAGGGUUUGUAAACGAAAGAGUUGUGAGAAGUGAAUGGUUCUCAGGUAAUGGGGAGAGAGUAAAGAAGGGAGUUUAAGAGAGAAAAGAAAACGUGGGAGGACAUGGGAAUGGAAAGGAAUGGUGUGUGAUGAAAACGAAGAGUACAGAGCAAAGGAAGAGAACAGAGCGGGACAAGGAUUUGAUUUCUUGGAGUAAAAAACGAUAGAAACGAAAAAGAAGAAGAAGAAAAGAAAAUUGUUUGGUGGGUGUUUCAGACCACCAUGCGACAAUCCCAGACCAGAACACGACCUACCGAGAUCGUUCUUCUACCGACGAGGGAUCAGGGGGGAGUUGAAUAGUUUAACUUUAAUCAUAGACUGAUACCAGAGCGUUGGAACUUGCUUCCUUUGCGCCGAAGGAAGAA